CUUGCUCCACCGGAAAAAGAGGAGUGGCGAACGGGUGAGUAACACGUGGGUAACCUGCCCAUCAGAAGGGGAUAACACUUGGAAACAGGUGCUAAUACCGUAUAACAAUCGAAACCGCAUGGUUUUGAUUUGAAAGGCGCUUUCGGGUGUCGCUGAUGGAUGGACCCGCGGUGCAUUAGCUAGUUGGUGAGGUAACGGCUCACCAAGGCGACGAUGCAUAGCCGACCUGAGAGGGUGAUCGGCCACAUUGGGACUGAGACACGGCCCAAACUCCUACGGGAGGCAGCAGUAGGGAAUCUUCGGCAAUGGACGAAAGUCUGACCGAGCAACGCCGCGUGAGUGAAGAAGGUUUUCGGAUCGUAAAACUCUGUUGUUAGAGAAGAACAAGGAUGAGAGUAACUGUUCAUCCCUUGACGGUAUCUAACCAGAAAGCCACGGCUAACUACGUGCCAGCAGCCGCGGUAAUACGUAGGUGGCAAGCGUUGUCCGGAUUUAUUGGGCGUAAAGCGAGCGCAGGCGGUUUCUUAAGUCUGAUGUGAAAGCCCCCGGCUCAACCGGGGAGGGUCAUUGGAAACUGGGAGACUUGAGUGCAGAAGAGGAGAGUGGAAUUCCAUGUGUAGCGGUGAAAUGCGUAGAUAUAUGGAGGAACACCAGUGGCGAAGGCGGCUCUCUGGUCUGUAACUGACGCUGAGGCUCGAAAGCGUGGGGAGCAAACAGGAUUAGAUACCCUGGUAGUCCACGCCGUAAACGAUGAGUGCUAAGUGUUGGAGGGUUUCCGCCCUUCAGUGCUGCAGCUAACGCAUUAAGCACUCCGCCUGGGGAGUACGACCGCAAGGUUGAAACUCAAAGGAAUUGACGGGGGCCCGCACAAGCGGUGGAGCAUGUGGUUUAAUUCGAAGCAACGCGAAGAACCUUACCAGGUCUUGACAUCCUUUGACCACUCUAGAGAUAGAGCUUCCCCUUCGGGGGCAAAGUGACAGGUGGUGCAUGGUUGUCGUCAGCUCGUGUCGUGAGAUGUUGGGUUAAGUCCCGCAACGAGCGCAACCCUUAUUGUUAGUUGCCAUCAUUUAGUUGGGCACUCUAGCAAGACUGCCGGUGACAAACCGGAGGAAGGUGGGGAUGACGUCAAAUCAUCAUGCCCCUUAUGACCUGGGCUACACACGUGCUACAAUGGGAAGUACAACGAGUCGCAAAGUCGCGAGGCUAAGCUAAUCUCUUAAAGCUUCUCUCAGUUCGGAUUGUAGGCUGCAA
rnacentral:rRNA from 1 species